rnacentral:lncRNA from 1 species
CAUAUAGAACUUCAAAUUUUAGAGUUGGUUCUUAAAUGUGUAUUAUUAACAGGUAUUACAAGAAAGAUAAGGAAUGCUCCAACCAGAGAAAUCUUAUAGUUCUGAUAAGCAAGUUCAUAGGCUUCGUAGAAAUUUCGGGUGUUCGCAUGGAAGUAAGUAUAACACACAUCCACCUACCAACCUGAGUUCAUUGCUCCAGAGCACCCUGGAUGACCAGAAUCUAUUACUCCGCUUAUAUUCGUCCCCUGUAACACAUCAUUUCUUGAGUCAUUAUAUUUUUGUUUCUUGACAGAGGAAUUACUAAUUAUUGCAACUGCGGCAAGUAAUUCCAUUUGGAACAAAAAAACAUAAUGGUGCUGCAGUGCAGAGAAGAGAAGAGACAUAAUUUUACAGGACAAUUGGUCCAGGCCCAUUGAUUGUUGGCAACAAUCUACCAGCGGUUUUUUCCCGCUGGAACGUAAAAACCCUAGAAUGAGUCAUUUUUCCGCUGGUAGACACUGUAGCCCCCUGCAUUCACAUCAAAAAUUUAGGCUUAAUGCC